rnacentral:rRNA from 1 species
GACGAACGCUGGCGGCGUGCUUAACACAUGCAAGUCGAACGGAUUGCUUUGUGCUUGCACUGAGUGGUUAGUGGCGAACGGGUGAGUAACACGUGAGUAACCUGCCCCCUUCUUUGGGAUAAGCACCUGAAGGGGUGUCUAAUACUGAUUAUUCUGCUGGAAUCGCAUGGUUUUGGUUGGAAAGGUUUUUUCUGGUGGGGGAUGGGCUCGCGGCUUAUCAGCUCGUUGGUGGGGUAAUGGCUUACCAAGGCUUUGACGGGUAACCGGCCUGAGAGGGUGACCGGUCACAUUGGGACUGAGAUACGGCCCAGACUCCUACGGGAGGCAGCAGUGGGGAAUAUUGCACAAUGGACGAAAGUCUGAUGCAGCGACGCCGCGUGAGGGAUGAAGGCCUUCGGGUUGUAAACCUUUUUCGCUUUUGACCAAGGCAGCAUUUUGGUGUUGUUGAGGGUAUGAGGUAAAGAAGCUCCGGCUAACUACGUGCCAGCCGCCGCCGUAAAAC